rnacentral:rRNA from 1 species
GAUGAACGCUGGCGGCGUGCCUAACACAUGCAAGUCGAACGAAGCACUGUUAACGGAGAUUCGUCGAAGUUAACUUUGACUUAGUGGCGGACGGGUGAGUAAUGUAUGAGCAACCUGCCUUUCAGAGGGGGACAACAGUUGGAAACGACUGCUAAUACCGCAUAAUGUACCGUGAGGGCAUCCUCGUGGUACCAAAGGAGCAAUCCGCUGAAAGAUGGGCUCAUAUCUGAUUAGCUAGUUGGUGAGGUAACGGCUCACCAAGGCUUCGAUCAGUAGCCGGACUGAGAGGUUGAACGGCCACAUUGGGACUGAGAUACGGCCCAGACUCCUACGGGAGGCAGCAGUGGGGAAUAUUGGGCAAUGGGCGAAAGCCUGACCCAGCAACG